CAGCUUCGCCCGGCAGCCGGCGCUCGGGCACGGACUCGGGCCCCGGUUAACCCUCUAGGGCGCUCUGCCAGCCCCGCACCCCUCCAACCUUCCAUCCCCCGCCUCGCGCGCGUGGGGAUCCACGUGGCUGUCACUUUUGGAGCCGUGCUGGGGGACCUGGACGAUAACUGAGGCCCGAGUCGGAGCGCUGGAGGUCCAGCCGAGAGGGCUUGGCGCAGUCCGCCCGUUAUCUCCGGACGCGCUCAUCCCCCUGCGCUGGCCGUGGUCCCCGCUGUUACCUCUGCAGCAGCCUCUUCUUCCUGCAGUGAGGUUCUUCCUCUCAGCCUCCCUGAGAGCUGGGCCGGCGGCCGCGGCUUUCCCUGCGCAGAGGACCUGAGCAGGCUGUUGGGACAUUGCCAAGCCGACCAAAGAGACGUGACUGCCUCAAAGACCGCCGGCGCAGGGUGGCCCUGGGAAGGAGGGACACAGGCAAAGGGUGUAAAGUACGGACUAACUUCCCUACAAAGCGGAUAUUCAAAAUGAACAACUGCCUUCAGAGAAAGCAGAAAGCCACUAAAGCAGAUGCUUGAAAUCUUUGCUGGAGGCCUUGUAAAAAGUUAUGCACUUGUCUUAGUUCUUUUGAGGAAUCUGGAGGUAAAGAACACAAAGCGAAAGAGACAAGAGACAGUGACAGACUGAACCAUUGGAGAAUAUAGCCCAGAGGUGGGAUGAGAGAAGGCCUCACUGGGCUGUGCUGGGCUGUCUAGGCUGCAACUAGCUUCCCUGCCCCAGCCCAUAAAGCUGCAACAAGACUGAUUAGAAAUGAUACAAUUAGACUCAGGUGAUUAGUUCAAGUAGAAGCAAAGUUCAUCAGUCUUAAAUCUCCAAAUCUGCUCCAUAUCUGUUCUCAGCUGAUAUCCCUGGGCUAGCCUCUGUGUCUUCUUGUCCUCUCUGAUCUGUGCCAGUGGAGGAGACAUGGAACUUUUGCGACAAGUUGAACAACAGUGAUCCUCAGUAAUGAGGUUUCACAGGCCAGCCUGGGCAGAUCCAGUUGGAUGUGGAUUUGAGUCUUAGCCACACUCUUUCCUUCUGCAAUGCCAGGUACAUACCCCCACAAAUCUGGAAGCUGGAGUUUCAAGUUCAUGGUUGUGAUCUAGACAUUAGCAACUUAGAAGGCUCCAGCACAACUUUUGCUCCAAGUCUGCUUUGGCCACCGGAUGAAGAAUCCGGCUCCUCCCAGAAGAAGCUCCUCACCAUGGCUCCCAUGAGGAUUUUAUGGCCGGUUGCACAAGAGAGACAAAGGGCGUCUUUAAAUUACACAAUCCCCAGCAUACAGCCUUGGUCCCAUUGGUUGAUUUUUCUAUUUUCCCCAUGGUUCUCCUUGAUUGCUUUGCCUCUGGGACUUUUCCCCUUUGACCCAGCCUUUUGGAGCUUCUUAAUUCUUCCUGUUCUUGUCC
rnacentral:lncRNA from 1 species